rnacentral:misc_RNA from 1 species
CUUGAUUUUUAAAUCAAGUUAAUCAUGAUAUAAUAGAGCUGUUAGUUUUUU